rnacentral:rRNA from 1 species
AACGAACGCUGGCGGCAGGCCUAACACAUGCAAGUCGAGCGAGACCUUCGGGUCUAGCGGCGGACGGGUGAGUAACGCGUGGGAACGUGCCCUUUUCUGCGGAAUAGCCUCGGGAAACUGAGCGUAAUACCGCAUACGCCCUUUGGGGGAAAGAUUUAUCGGAAAAGGAUCGGCCCGCGUUGGAUUAGGUAGUUGGUGGGGUAAUGGCCUACCAAGCCUACGAUCCAUAGCUGGUUUGAGAGGAUGAUCAGCCACACUGGGACUGAGACACGGCCCAGACUCCUACGGGAGGCAGCAGUGGGGAAUCUUAGACAAUGGGGGCAACCCUGAUCUAGCCAUGCCGCGUGAGUGAUGAAGGCCUUAGGGUUGUAAAGCUCUUUCAGCUGGGAAGAUAAUGACGGUACCAGCAGAAGAAGCCCCGGCUAACUCCGU